UUGGAGUGUCGCGCCACCCUGGAUGCCAGCGAAGCCGCCGUGGGGGGAUGACGGGCCUUCGGGUUGUAAACCUCUUUCGAAGGGGACGAAGCUUAUUGUGACGGUACCUGUAUAAGAAGCACCGGCUAACUACGUGCCAGCAGCCGCGGUAAAGGGGACCGAGUAGUAUAAUAAAUACGG
rnacentral:rRNA from 1 species